UUAAUUUCUCUAUAUACUAGUUUAGUAGUACUUUUUCGCACUAAAACAUGUAGCGAGAGAUACUGCUCUAGACAGACUUCGUUCCUGGAUUAAACAAGAAUGCCCUGAAUAAAUAGCAAUUAUGAUACCCCCUACAAAAGGGUAUACAAAUGAUUUACUUAAUUUGACUGACACUUGAGCAAAAUUUGUAUGAAAUGAGAAACGGCCACAAAAGUCUCCAGCACCAGCAUCAGCACAUGACAGCGCUUGAUAAAGUGCACUCAAAGCUAUGCCAAAAUGAUUCGCAGUCUUAACUUUUGGCUUGGCUUUAUAUGAUACGUACAUACACAUGGUAGGUACUAUAUAUCUUUGUGCAUAUCGUGACAAUGGGCAUAUUUGCACAGCUGUGUUGCUGUUAUUUCUGCUAAAAAAGGCUUUGUUGAUUUAAGGCCGCUUCCUGUGGUACGGCCAGGACCCAAACCGACCAAACCGAACCGAACCAGACCAAACCGAACGGCAUAAACGCUGCACAAGCUCACCUUCUCAAAAAGAAAGCCCAGCACACACAGAUACACAUACACACACAGUGCCACACACACUAUGGCACACACGCAACGGCAUUCAGUCAGCCAUGCCACAUGCACCGUUGCCCCAGUGGCCACCGCCAGCCGACUCUACCAUAUCCCUGAUUCCCUCCUGGCCACCGACCAGAGCUGUGGUCCGUCUGGCCAUUGAGGCAAAAGUAGCGCUACAGCAGAGCUGCUGCAGACAAUAUGACCGCAAAAUGCCCAGGACGCUCAGACCUGUAGACCAGGGCUGCACAAGAGUCGCCAAAAAUAUCAAUUAAUUCCAUUUCAAUCUUUAAAAUCUUCAGAAUUCGAUUUUAUGUAUACAUAUAGUAACGAGGGUACUCAGUCAGUAUUCAGAGCUUAUAAUUUAUGCAACAUAUUUUAUAUGUCGUUUGGUAUCGCUGUUUAAUUUUUUUGCCAGACAAAAAUUUCAUAAAAAUCGGUCGAACCGUUUGGGAAAUGUUUAUAUAUAUUUUAUCCGUUUCCAUAUUUCUUUACAUUUGUUAUUUACAUCUGUCUCUUUUUUUUAUAUUUUUACACCAACAUCAGCCGUUUUAUGGUGCUCCUUCCGCCAGAAGGCGCACACUGCACGAUGAAGAGUGUGUGUGAAAGGAAGGGAAUGAGUAAGCUUGUGGAAGGCGUUGCGUAGCCACUGAAGAUUCAUUUGUUCCUUCUGGCUAUAAUAUUGAUCCGAUCUGAUCCAGAUUCGGCAAUCUGCUAGAUAUGGUCAUUCUCUACGGAUCAGUGUUUUUGGUCUUCGCGAAUCUUCAAAAUUGUGGACCAAUAAUGUACAUAUAUACUUUAUGGGGUCGGAAACGAUCCCUUCUGUGUGUUACACACAUCCACUGUCACACAAUACUCUUCGAUUAGCGGGUAUACAAAUUUUAUACAUUUCAAAAAGUUCUCUUUUUAUUUUUAACAUAGUAACUUGUACUCAGAGUUACAAGACUCUUGGAGUAAUAUUUUUCGUCGUUAGUUACGUCUUGCACUUUUCUUAGUUUUUAUUAUUAUUAUUAUUAGUGGGGGGAAAAUGGUUCAUAAAAACCCGAUUUAACAUAAGUAUGUAAUCUAUUUUAUUAAAAUUAUUAUUGAACAAUUAAUGAUGUAUUUACUAUAUGUAAGUGUUUUGUAUAUCU